rnacentral:lncRNA from 1 species
CAGCUUUGAUGCACCUGUGCUGAGUCACCUGUGCUGAGUCACCUGUGCUGAGUCACCUGUAACCAGGAACAGGGUUGGAGUUAAAGCCUCGUGGAGAACCCUGUGUUAGCGUGUUCUUCACAUGUUGGUGUGUUAAAGAGCAGAACCUUACACACUCCUCUACUGUAGCCCUCUGCUCUCUACAUCUCUCUCUCUGUCUCUCUCUCUCUCUCUCUGUCUCUUCCUGUCUCUCUCUCUGUCUCUCUGUCUCUUCCUGUCUCUCUCUCUGUCUCUCUGUCUCUUCCUGUCUCUCUCCCUCUCUGUCUCUCUCCCUCUCUGUCUCUCUCUCUGUCUCUCUCUCUCUCUGUCUCUUCCUGUCUCUCUCCCUCUCUGUCUCUCUCUCUCUCUCUGUCUCUUCCUGUCUCUGUCUCUCUCUUUCGCUCUCUCUCUAUCUCUCUUCCUCUCUCUCUCUGUCUGUCUCUCUCUCUCUCUCUCUCAGGCUUCAUAAUUACACCCAGUCAUGAUAACCCCUUUCCCUCUCUCUCAUCCCCCCCCCCCCCAUCAUUAAUACAGUAUUCCAUCUCUUCCUGGGAUUAUCUCACCUUUAAUAGUGUAAAGCUGCUUUGUGUUGCUGCUGAAUGGUUGAACGGGAGGGGAAAGUGAAAGCCUCUUUAGUUGAAAGGAAAGGUGGAGGGAGGUAAAGGGAGGGAGGGUAGUUAUUAGUGUCUACUGAGGGUUUAAGCCCUGGAUUGUCAACCCCCUGUCCUCUCCUACAGAACAAUAGAGACCUAUAGGGACAGAUAGAGGCCUCAGCUCACACUGAAACAUGUCUCAGAAGGUAAAUCAUCCUGCUCACACUGGAGCAGGCUGGUUGGACUCUGGCAGGGUUUGGCAAUGGGACUGAACACGUGAUUUAUCAGGGGCAGUGAAUAUGUAUAUGCACCCUUGUGUGUGUGUGUGUGUGUGUGUGUGUGUGUGUGUGUGUGUGUGUGUGUGUGUGUGUGUGUGUGUGUGUGUGUGUGUGUGUGUGUGUGUGUGUGUGUGUGUGUGAGAGAGAGUCUAGAGACAGAUAUUGAAGUAUGAGCCAUUGGGCUUUCAUGAAACAUGCAAGGACCUGAGCAGUGUGUCUGUGAUUGAUUCCUAAUGGGAAAGGCGGAUGACUGAGAGAUACACAGGUCUGUUUGUAUUGGAGGACCAGAGAGGAUCAGAUACAGGAAAAGGAAGAGAUACACAGGUCUGUUUGUAUUGGAGGACCAGAGAGGAUCAGAUACAGGAAAAGGAAGAGAUACACAGGUCUGUUUGUAUUGGAGGACCAGAGAGGAUCAGAUACAGGAAAAGGAAGAGAUACACAGGUCUGUUUGUAUUGGAGGACCAGAGAGGAUCAGAUACAGGAAAAGGAAGAGAUAAGCAGGUCUGUUUGUGUUGGAGGACCAGAGAGGAUCAGAUACAGGAAAAGGAAGAGAUACACAGGUCUGUUUGUAUUGGAGGACCAGAGAGGAUCAGAUACAGGAAAAGGAAGAGAUACACAGGUCUGUUUGUAUUGGAGGAUCAGAUACAGGAAAAGGAAGAGAUACGCAGGUCUGUUUGUGUUGGAGGAUCAGAGAGGAUCAGAUACAGGAAAAGGAAGAGAUACGCAGGUCUGUUUGUGUUGGAGGAUCAGAGAGGAUCAGAUACAGGAAAAGGAAGAGAUACGCAGAGUAUUUUUGUCUCUCUCUCUCGUCUGACUAAUUUACCCGGUGUCCUUUCAGCCUGUCACUCCCCCUGCGACGUCACAUUUAGUGGCACAUCAGAAAGCCGGGAGGAGAGAGAGGAGAGGAAGUAGCGAGGGAAAGGACAAAAUGGAGCACUUUUCACUAGCGAGCCCUUAAAGAUAUAAUUACCUGUCUUUGGAGUUGAGGAAGAGAAAAUGAUGAGCGCCAAAAUAGAUCAUGGGGAAAGGAGCGUCUCUGAUCUUCGCCUGGCAGAAUAAAAUAAUGAAACACUUACAAUGAACACUGUGUUUUUCAUGUGCAAAUUAAACUUUACAUGUUGACAGUUCACAAUGUAGCUCCAUGCCUGGCUCACUUUCUGUCUCUCUCUUCCUCUCUCGCUCGCUCUCUCUCUCUCUCUUCCUCUCUCUCGCUGUCUCUCUCGCUCUUUAAACAAACACACAAUUAUCCUUCUAAUCCAGUUCCCAACUCUCUACUUGGAAAACAAGGAGAGAUAUCUCUUCACAGAGGGAGGGGACGACAACAGCUGACAUCCCCUCUAGUACACUUAAUAGAGACGCUUUAUAAGAUCCAAACAAAGAUUAGUAAACAACAACAAAAACAGGGGAAUGAAAGAGAGAAGGAGAAAUGAAAGCAGAAACCUUUCUAAAUGGUUCGCCCACUAACAUCACUUUGAGUCUAAAUGGAAACCAAUGGGGGAUCUGGGUAGAAGCAGAGAAACACAGCGGAGAGGUUAAAGCACUGAGACAGUCACUACUGUAGUUUACAGAGCUCCAGAGAUGGAGAGAAGGACAGAGGAGAGGUUAAAGCACUGAGACAGUCACUACUGUAGUUUACAGAGCUCCAGAGAUGGAGAGAAGGACAGAGGAGAGGUUAAAGCACUGAGACAGUCACUACUGUAGUUUACAGAGCUCCAGAGAUGGAGAGAAGGACAGAGGAGAGGUUAAA